AUGACAGGAUCCAGAGUCAAUUCAUGGGCUUUGUCGAUCGCGGGAGACGUGCCACCACCUUUGCAAAUACCACAACCGUCACGAGAGGUGCACAAACAUCCAAAUGCACGUGAUCAGGUUAAUGUAUCUAUACCACCAUUUAAUGGCCGUUUUAAACCUGCUUUAUAUAUUGAAUGGGAGUUCGACAUAAAAAAUAUAUUUGCUUCCCAUAAUUUCAAUGAACAUAAAAAGGUUAAGGUUGCGGUUGGUUCUUUCACUGGUUAUGCUUUGGUUUGGUGGAGUGAAUAUUGUCGGUUACACCCUGAUUAUAUACCUACUACUUGGGAUGAUUUGAAACUUGCCAUGCGACAUACUUUCGUCCCUGCUUAUUAUACUCGUGACAUGAUUAAGAAGUUG
rnacentral:rRNA from 1 species